AAGAAGUUGAGUGGAACAGUCUGCUCUGGUGCGGCUGCAGCUCGUCAUGAAGCACAACUGAUCCUCCUUUUCUUCUUCCGUGCCUUCGAGAUUCCUCCUGGGCUUCACCAGAGCCUCUGGUGGUCUGGGUGGCUGGUGUGCCGAGUGCCCCAGACCUCCACUUUCCGGGCUGUGGAUGCUGCAUUUGUUCAUUCAGUAUCAAAACCAGGCAGGACAUUGUUCUGGUCCCUGCGCGUGGUACCAGCCUGCUUCCUUCCUGGUGAUCACUCUUGCCUGCUGAUUCCUUGGCAGAAGGAACGUCUGAUACCUGACGCCUGCUAGUGCAUUUCCUUCCCCUGGUAGAACACUCCAUUUCCUCCCAGUAAAUUAUUUUGCGGUCUUAGAGCUUCCCUGUGUCGGAGGCUGCCUCUGCUCCUCUUCUACUGGAGAUGGGUCCUCACUAUUACACCGGGCGACUGGACAAGCGCUUUGGGGCCCACGUUUAUGGGCAGAAUGAAGCAGGACUAGGCAGAGAGAGAAAUCGGGCUGCCGUGGACCCCGGCGUGCUGUGUCUCAAACCGGCACUGAUCAGUAACUGUGCUGGUGGCUGGCGUGGAUCCUUGCUUCAGUGAUAACGGAAAUUAAAACUGAGGCAACAGCAUGAAUUCACAGGAAGAGUUUUAAUUAAAGAAUAAGAGAAAAUGGGGCGGGACUUCAGGUUGAGGAGAAGGAAAGCUGAAGAGGACACAGCUCUGAUGGACAGGAGUAGGCUGGCUUGUUAACAAAUCGGGAAGGCGCUGCAGCUGGAGCAGAAAGCUAACAGGGCCACAACUCUGACGGGGAUCGGUCCGGUCCAUUAACAGCACUCACACUCAGGGUGGGGCACCGUGAAUCAGUCCCAGCAUCGCACACUCUGGAUCCGGCCCCGUCCGUGAAGCCCCACCUAUGACCGCAUGAGGCUUUGGGGAGACAUCUAGGUUCAGCCAGAGCACUUGAGCUGAACAUGGAUCUGAUGCAAAGUUGUAAGGUAAUGGAGACAGACACAGAACGAAGGCAGAGCUAUCGAGCUUUAUCCUGUUGGUUACCCAGCGGACAUCUGUAGCCCAGAGUCACUGUUUUAGCAAAAGCAGCUUUUAAGACCCUGACUGCCCCGGAGAGAAACACAGAGCAUUCUUUUAAUGAGUAACAGAAUUCAUUUUCAACGAUUUACGCUGUAGUCCCUGAAAUCGUCCGCUUCGUCCGCUUUGGAAACGCAAGCCCCGGGAGGGUGCAGCCCUCUUUGGCCUCGCCGGCCGCGCUGUCCCCAGCAUCACCACCAACCGCGGCUCGGCUUCCAGCCACCCGCGCCUCCUCGGCAGCGCACCCAUGGGAAGGGGCGCGGCGGCCAGGCAGGGCGCGCGGGCGAGCCUUUCACACUGCCCUUCCCUGCGGGGCGCUGCGGGCUUCCAAGCCGGCUCCCGUCCCUGAGACGCUGCUCCGCGCUUCUGGCCCCGUCCCGCGUCGGUGUUUCGUCGGGAGUGAGUGAGACCCCGGCGCGCCGCGCAGGCCGCUGCCCGCAGAGGCCCGGCUCUCACGCCGCGCUUUCACGCCUGCGCGGGGCGCCGUC